GACAGAGGGUGCAAACGUUGUUCGGAAUUACUGGGCGUAAAGCGCGUGUAGGCUGCUUGGAAAGUCGGAUGUGAAAGCCCUGGGCUCAACCGAGGAACGUCGAUCGAUACUGCUGUUCUUGAGGAUUGCAGAGGAGACUGGAAUUCCCGGUGUAGCGGUGAAAUGUGUAGAGAUCGGGAGGAACACCGGUGGCGAAGGCGGGUCUCUGGGCAAUUCCUGACGCUGAGGCGCGAAAGCGUGGGGAGCAAACGGG
rnacentral:rRNA from 1 species